UACGAAGGGGGCUAGCGUUGCUCGGAAUCACUGGGCGUAAAGGGCGCGUAGGCGGGCUCUUAAGUCAGAGGUGAAAGCCCAAGGCUCAACCUUGGAAUUGCCUUUGAUACUGAGGGCCUUGAGACCGGAAGAGGUCGGCGGAACUGCGAAUGUAGAGGUGAAAUUCGUAGAUAUUCGCAAGAACACCAGUGGCGAAGGCGGCCGACUGGUCCGGUUCUGACGCUGAGGCGCGAAAGCGUGGGGAGCAAACAGG
rnacentral:rRNA from 1 species